AGUUAAGUUGGACAGGGAUAGUGCUGUAUUGUUGAAACUACUCAGUGAACUCUCUAACUAUUAAAAUGGAGAAAGGUGCAACGCGAUGUUCUUCAAUGAGUAAUGGUGGCAAAUGGUUUGCUCAUGAAGUUAUACCAGAAAAAGAGAAAAGGAGUCGUGAGGCUUGUACGAGCACUGGGAUCAUGCUGACUCAGGUUAAAUCAGCACUGCCUGAGGCUUUGAACUUGGAGCGCUUUCCUAAAUGGAAAUCUCAGCAGUUUCUUUAUAGAAAUCCAGAGAGUAUCCUUUCUCCGGCCAUGACAACAAGAAUGCCUUAAAAGACAACAUCUCUGUCUUCAGUAAUGGCGUAGGACUCAGGAAGAGUCUUAAUGAUCCCAGACAGCAACACUCCCAUUUCUGCCUGUCCCACGACGGAGCUUACAGCAGCUCUGAAGAAACCGAGGGGAACAUGUCGGUCCAACACACUGACUUCACGGUGAAGCAGGCUGUUAAUGUUCCCACCAGCACCAGGCGGUUCCCCCACAACCACAAGCAGAAAGCUGCAGAGGCAGCUCUGGAGGAUGUCAUGUGGUUUGGACGACACGACUUGAAUGUCUCAGAGACCCUGCAAGUGCUGGCAGCUAACUGCUCAACACCAUCCAGGCCCCAACGUGUAGGACACUAGAUCAUAGAGAGGGUGAGGGGGACUUUCAAGAGGGUCCAGCUGUCAAAUAAAGAACUGAAUCAGAAGCAUCAGAUAGCAUUUUCUCUUGUUUUGGGAGCUUUAGAGUAUAGUGGGCUGUAUUGCAGACAGAGCAAAUAGAAGAACACUUGAUGUUAUAACAAUGCAUCCUCAGUGCAACUUGAUAUUCUUGCUAAUAUUUUAAUACACAUGGUAUGUCAUAGUCUUGAUUUCAGAGUACUAUAAUCUGAAUUACAGUAGCCUAUACUAUAGCCCUGUGAAGAGUGCUGGUAGUUCACAGUUUGACCAGCAGAUGGCAGCAGGUCUGCAUGACUUCUCUGAUGUCGAUUUGUUUAACAGCCAAACUGUGAGAAAUGUAACCACCAAAGACCCAGUGUAAUGUGCAUGAUUUGGAGUAUAUGGUGGGUACAAAAUAAUUCGAGCUAUUCUUAUUUUAAGGCAUAUCAACAUAAAGACAUUGAAUUAUUGCAUUUUUAAUAAAUUGAGCAGCUUCGUUUGAGUCGUAAUGCAUGGCUUUGUUUCACCCUUGGGGAUGAAAAAGAUGGAUAUGUGUGUGUGCCGCUACUGCAAGAGAUCAGAAAGCGUGGGAGAAUAACAGACUGCUCAGAGAAAAGCACUUAAAGUGAAGAGUGUCCCCGACCACUUUCUCCAAUUGCUGAUGUUUUCUCCAGAGUACAUUCUGACCAGCUGCUUUCUUUCUUUAAUACCCAUGCCGGGGAGAUGGGUUUUUCCUCACAUGCUUUCUUUCAGCUCUAGUAAUUAGUUGUUCCAUAUACAUCCCCGACCUUGUAGGAGUUUGUUUCACUUAGAAAAGGUGACAUUACAUCCCACAGUUAGUAUAUAGCGAGAGAAGAAAGCUGUGAGUCAUCCAUCUGGAAACUGCUGCCCCUUCUGAUUUCACUUCGAGAUUAUUUUCACACGUUGCUGCCCAAAAACAGAGUCCUUGAUGCAGGUGCAUAACUGACACUAGGCUGCAGGGCAUGGGUUUGUAAUAACCACCUUUGAUAAAACAGAAAAAAGGGAUACAAAGAUGAAGAAAAAGGGUUACUGGCUCUAUGUUAACCCUAUAUUUGUUAUGUUACUGAAACAGAAAUCUGUUAAGUGUUUCUGUUGGUCAAAUCAAACCUACAUUUAUCUUUAAAAAAAAGGCACAGUGGUCUUGGGGAGUGAAAGAAAUGUUAAUUAAUGAAAAACAUUUCUGCUUUAGUGCUUGACAGUUGGUUGUUUCUGGUUUUGACUGGUUGUCUGCCACCUCUGUCCCUGUGGGUGCAGUUUGCAGACUUCACUUUGCUUUGGACCUGCCUCAACUUGAACAACUCCUCCGCACGGAAGCCACCAACACUUCACAAUCAGAAACUCUCAUUAGCUCUGUUAGAACAGCAGUAAAGCUUUUAAUACUUCACAGGGGAGAGGAGAGCAGAGCACACUGAAAUUGCGUGUCAAUCAUUAGCCGGUAUGUGGUAUUGUGUAACGUAUGUGGCAUGUCAGGCGAGAUGUGUGUCUUCGUAUCAUGUAAAGAAUAAACAGCAAGUAUAUGUAAAUACAGCUGCUCGGUGGAAUAUCAAACCUUCUCCCAAGGACAAAAGACACAUCUCAGUAAACAAGCAUUCAACCACCAAAGCCCUGCACUUCAUGAAUAUUAAAUCAGACACUUUGAAUCCUACCUCUUUGGUGUUAGGAUGCCCUAGUCUGGAUUCUUACCAUUCACUGUGAUUUAUUCACAGGUGCAUGUGUCUCUUUGAUGUGUUGAGUUGAGAGGUUUUGCACCUGUUAGAGAAAAAAAUGCUUUGAAAACAAGAGGUGGAUUUGCCAGACAGUCAAAAUGACAGCAACACAGGGAACACAUACGUACGUUUGUGUGUAUGUGUGUCAAAAAAAGGCUCCUGUUCUGUUUUGACAUACUCUGUUGUGCGCACUGCAAAAUCACUUUUUCUCCAACAAAAUUGACUUCUUUUUGGCAUCUGUUCUGACGUUAAUAUGAAGUUGUGCGUUGUGCAUUUUGUCCAUUACACAUUCAUUAAAGAUGUGACUUGA